AGAAAAGAGGAAAAGAAUCCAGCAGAUCUGAAGCGAACUGGAACGGAAUCGGCGGCGCUGGAACGACAACCCACGGCGGAGGAGUGCAACUAGUCUGGGCGUUCGAGACGGUGCUCAGACCGACGAGACGGGACGGAGUGUGAACGACCGGCGAUGCGCGACCGAAGAUGGCGGCGUGAGGCGGAGACGGGCUGCCGGUGUGGGUCUGCUGGACAAAAGAGAGAAGGCUGGUGUGGGG
rnacentral:misc_RNA from 1 species